UAUUGGGGUUUCAUUGUUAACCUUUGCAAAAUGCUCAAGCAUUGGUUUUACGAUCCGAAAUGCAUAUGUGCCACAUUGUUCCCCUAGUUUUUCGAGCAACUAGCAAAAUUGAGAGACAAUCGUUAAGAUAAUUAACUAUUAUCGAACUCAUGUUUUGAACUUUAGCCCAAUCUACUCACUGAUUCAUUCUCGGUCGAAGAUUCUUUUGGCCAAGCCACAGACAAAGUAGCUAUUAAAAUCACAAACACUUUGAAAUUUAUUAACAUUUUUCUUGAGUAUAUAAUAAUUUUUUUUACGUAAUGUAAUGUUUUAAACUCACGGACAACAUCGAAUGUCACCGACUUCACAGACAGCGCCUUUAAAUAGUAGGCUAAUGUCGAGAUUCCAAGAAAUGUUGUGCAAUGUUGUAUUAUCAACAUGUAAUAUCAGUUCAAUAUAUAUAUAUUAGCAAUGUUAUCAUACAGGUGAAAUAGGUCAAAAGUGAAGAGCCUUGGCCUGAUAAAAUAGAUUUGCUAUUGAGAAAAUAUAUUGAAAGAAAAAAAUAACAUUGCCAUCGAUAAGGGAGAACGGAAAAACAAAAAUUUAAAAGUUAAUUAAAAACUCAUCAGAUAAAUGAUAACUGGAGCCCAGUGGCCAGUGCCUGGGCCCGGGCAUUAUUAUGACGGCAAGACGACGAACAUCAUAUCUAGUGAGCUGCAGCGGCAAAGAGCUGGCCCAUUGGCCAGUUAACGUAUUCAUAACUAUAUUUAUCAGCCAUCAAAAAUCAAUUGCACACACAAAAAGAGCGUAAAGCUGCGGCUGCAAUGGACCGGUAUCUGGUCUCAGUGGGUCUUCAUCCUGGCUUUCCGAGCUUUCCAGCUACCUCGCUUCCCCUUACUUCGGUCUGUGAGGCGUUCAAAUUGCGCUUGUUAACAUUUUUGACCGCCUGCUGGGGGCCUCACAGUGCAGUCGACGUCGCUGUCGCCGUCGACGUCGCCGAAAAAGCCAACAAACCGAACGUGUUACGCAUAAUAAUUUUCGCAGUGCGUCCAACAUUCGUAUAAAUAUUUCAACGGUUCGGUGGAUGUGCCCGCUGCUGCUGCUGGUGGAGCUGGUGGUGCUGGUGGUGCUGGUGGUGGUGCGUUGACUGCUGCUGUGGUUCAUCAUCAAAUACAUACAGUUUAUCUUGGAGCCGCAUCGCUCACGCUCAGUUCCGAGAGCAAGAGACAACAAACAGGCUGAUAAGACAAAUACACUUAGAGAAAUUCUGGUGAUAUGAAAACUUGAAUCUUCAAAAGUAUUGGUUUUCAUUAAGUUUUGUCUUCAGAGAUCUUUGGAUGGAACCAGUUGGAAUUGGAAAUUUCUUCAAAAGGUGUUGCAGAGGCGGCCAUUGUGUAAAGAGUUUGAGUCUGAAAAAGGAUGGGAAAGGGUUUUGAAAAUUCUAAGCUGCGUGCUCUGUUUGGCAAAGGUUAACCCUCUACGCCACUUUAUCGAUUUCAAUGAACGAAAAUUGCUGCAUCUGAGCCGGCGCCCUCACGCUUGUGGGUUUUGAAUCUGACAUAAAAUAACAAUUCUGUGUCCUCCGUCAUAUACCAAAGCUAACACGAUAAGGAAAACAUAGAGAUCUACUAUAGAAAUAUAUAAAUAAAGGUUCAGUUCAGUUCAGGAAAAAGGAUUCGAGCCCGUGAACCGCUUGCUGUAUGACGUUCGUUCCUACAAUUACUCUAGAAAGUUGGAAACACUUUCGAAAAUAGAAAUUCGAUUAGGAAUCACAACACCUGAAAAUUCAGUAAACAAAUUGGGACUAUCUUAUAUAUUUUUUCAAGAUCAAAGAAUUUAAAAGCAGUAUUCAAUCCCACGACCUUUACUAGUUUAAAAUUGCUUCUUGCAGGAUCGACUUUAAUAUACUUUAGUUAUGCCCAUUUAUAGUCUAUAAAGUCGGAUAUAAAAUAAAACACGCAAUAAUUAUAAGAUAUACUCGUAUAUGUAUUAGUUUAAGUGCAUUUUGUAAUUU